rnacentral:rRNA from 1 species
GAUGAACGCUGGCGGCGUGCCUAAUACAUGCAAGUCGAGCGAACGGACGAGAAGCUUGCUUCUCUGAUGUUAGCGGCGGACGGGUGAGUAACACGUGGAUAACCUACCUAUAAGACUGGGAUAACUUCGGGAAACCGGAGCUAAUACCGGAUAAUAUUUUGAACCGCAUGGUUCAAAAGUGAAAGACGGUCUUGCUGUCACUUAUAGAUGGAUCCGCGCUGCAUUAGCUAGUUGGUAAGGUAACGGCUUACCAAGGCAAGAUGCAUAGCCGACCUGAGAGGGUGAUCGGCCACACUGGAACUGAGACACGGUCCAGACUCCUACGGGAGGCAGCAGUAGGGAAUCUUCCGCAAUGGGCGAAAGCCUGACGGAGCAACGCCGCGUGAGUGAUGAAGGUCUUCGGAUCGUAAAACUCUGUUAUUAGGGAAGAACAUAUGUGUAAGUAACUGUGCACAUCUUGACGGUACCUAAUCAGAAAGCCACGGCUAACUACGUG